GUACGGGAACCAGAUCAGCGCAAAGUUCUGGGAGGUGAUCUCUGAUGAACAUGGCAUUGACUCUGCUGGCACCUACCACGGGGACAGUGACCUGCAGCUGGAACGCAUCAAUGUGUACUACAACGAGGCCAGCGGUGGCAGGUAUGUGGCCCGCGCUGUGCUCGUGGAUCUGGAGCCAGGCACCAUGGACACAGUGCGUUCUGGGCCCUUUGGGCAGAUCUUCAGGCCAGACAACUUCGUCUUUGGUCAGCGUGGGGCCUCGAACAACUGGGCCAAGGGUUACUACACAGAAGGCGCGGAACUGAUGGAGUCGGUGAUGGAUGUUGUGAGAAAAGAAGCUGAGAGCUUUUUGCCUGCAGGGUUUCCAGCUGAUCCACUCCCUGAGUGGGGGGACUGGGUCUGGGAUGGGUAGCCUUCUCAUGGACAUAAUUCGGGAGGAGUACCCAGACAGGAUGAUAAACACAUUCAGCAUCCUGCCCUCGCCCAAGGUGUCAGACACCAUGGUGGAGCCCUGCAAUGCCACCUUCUCCGUCCACCGGCUCAUACAAAAUGCAGACGAGACGUUCUGCAUUGAUAAUGAAGCACUCUACAACAUCUGUUUCAGGACCUUAAAACUGACUACACCCACCUAUGGUGACCUGAAUCACCUGGUAUCUGCUACCAUGAGUAGGGUCACUGUGUGCCUGCGCUUCCCAGGCCAGCUGAAUGCCGACCUGUGGAAGUUGGCCAUGAACGUGGUUCCAUUUCCCCGGCUGCACUUCUUCAUGCCUGGCUUUGCCCCGCUAACCAGCUGGAGCAGCCAGCAGUACCAGGCCAUUACUGUGGCUGAGCUCACUCAGCAACUCUUUGAAGCCAAGAAUAUGAUGGUCACCUGUGACCCCCAUCAUGGCCGCUACCUAACCGGGGCUGCAACUUUCAGAGGUCGCAUGUCCAUGAGGGAGGUGGAUGAGCAAAUGUUCAACAUUCUGAAUAAGAACAGCAGCUUCUUUGCUGAGUGGCUUCCUCACAGCGUGAAAACAGCUGUCUGUGACAUCCCACCCUGGGGGUUAAAAAUGUCAGCCACUUUCAUCAGUAACAACACAGCAAUUCAAGAGCUCUUCAAACGUGUCUCCGAACAGUUUACAGCUAUGUUCAGGCGCAAGGCCUUCCUGCACUGGCACGUGGGCGAGGGAAUGGAUGAGAUGGAGUUCACCAAGGCUGAGACCAACCUUAAUGACCUGUGUCAGAAUACCAGCAAUACCACGAUGCCACAGCUGAGGAGGAGGAGGUAGCCUAGAAGCUUCCUUUUCUAGGUAAAGGGGGAAGCAGUGUUGAUUCUUUAGUGUGUUCUGAUAACCAUUGUCACUACGCACAUCUUGUGUUUUCGUCUUCUCCUGCUGCAUUUUAAAGCAUUUUCAUAGUAAUUUGGCAUAAUAAAACAUCUAUA